ACCGGCGAUGAAGGCAGGGUGGGUGGGAGAAAGUGGUGACAUGUUCCUCAGACCUACACAGCCUUCCAAUCCCUACUCUAGGAAAAUCGCCGGUUAAGCUGAAAGAUUCUGUUAUGGCGCAUCUAAGUUACGAGCCCUCAUCAACACCUUCACCCGUCGUUGUGCUUUUGAUUAUCAUCAUCACCUAUCUGAGAGUCCAAGUUAUUUGAAGACAACUUAUGUUGAUUUUUUCUCUUUUGUGUUUCGUUCUUUUAAACCUCUCUUGUUUGUUCGGU
rnacentral:sRNA from 1 species